CGGCGGAACACGUGAAAUUCCGUCGGAAUCCGGGAGGACCAUCUCCCAAGGCUAAAUACUCCCUAGUGACCGAUAGUGAACCAGUACCGUGAGGGAAAGGUGAAAAGCACCCCGGAAGGGGAGUGAAACAGUUCCUGAAACCGUGUGCCUACAAGUAGUUAGAGCCCGUUAAUGGGUGAUAGCGUGCCUUUUGUAGAAUGAACCGGCGAGUUACGAUUUGUUGCAAGGUUAAGCGGAAAAAGCGGAGCCGUAGCGAAAGCGAGUCUGAAUAGGGCGCAUAAGUAACAGGUCGUAGACCCGAAACCAGGUGAUCUACCCAUGUCCAGGAUGAAGGUAAGGUAAUACUUACUGGAGGUCCGAACCCACGCACGUUGAAAAGUGCGGGGAUGAGGUGUGGGUAGCGGAGAAAUUCCAAUCGAACUUGGAGAUAGCUGGUUCUCUCCGAAAUAGCUUUAGGGCUAGCCUCGAGGUAAAGAGUCAUGGAGGUAGAGCACUGUUUGGACUAGGGGCCCUUCUCGGGUUACCGAAUUCAGAUAAACUCCGAAUGCCAUGUACUUAUACUCGGGAGUCAGACUGCGAGUGAUAAGAUCCGUAGUCGAAAGGGAAACAGCCCAGACCACCAGUUAAGGUCCCCAAAUAUAUGUUAAGUGGAAAAGGAUGUGGGGUUGCUUAGACAACCAGGAUGUUGGCUUAGAAGCAGCCACCAUUGAAAGAGUGCGUAAUAGCUCACUGGUCGAGUGACCCCGCGCCGAAAAUGUACCGGGGCUAAACAUAUUACCGAAACUGUGGAUGAACCUCUUUAGAGGUUCGUGGUAGGAGAGCGUUCUAAGGGCGGUGAAGUCAGACCGGAAGGACUGGUGGAGCGCUUAGAAGUGAGAAUGCCGGUAUGAGUAGCGAAAGAAGGGUGAGAAUCCCUUCCACCGAAUAUCUAAGGUUUCCUGAGGAAGGCUCGUCCGCUCAGGGUUAGUCGGGACCUAAGCCGAGGCCGAUAGGCGUAGGCGAUGGAC
rnacentral:rRNA from 1 species